UACGUAGGGGGCAAGCGUUGUCCGGAAUCACUGGGCUUAAAGCGUGUGUAGGUGGAUGCCUAAGUACCUUGUGAAAUCCCACGGCUUAACCAUGGAAUUGCUUGGUAUACUGGGUGUCUUGAGCCACUCAGGGGCUACCGGAACAAACGGUGGAGCGGUGAAAUGCGUAGAUAUCGUUUGGAACGCCAAUGGUGAAAACAGGUAGCUGGGGGUGUGCUGACACUGAGACACGAAAGCCAGGGGAGCAAACGGG
rnacentral:rRNA from 1 species